rnacentral:rRNA from 1 species
ACGGGGUGCAGCAGGCGCGAAAACUUUACAAUGCGGGAAACCGCGAUAAGGGGAUACCGAGUGCCAGCAUAUUAUGUUGGCUGUCCACAUGUGUAAACGGCAUGUGUCAGCAAGGGCCGGGCAAGACCGGUGCCAGCCGCCGCGGUAACACCGGCGGCCCGAGUGGUAAUCACUUUUAUUGGGUCUAAAGGGUCCGUAGCCGGUUUGAUCAGUUCUUCGGGAAAUCUGACAGCUCAACUGUUAGGCUUCCGGGGAAUACUGUCAGACUUGGGACCGGGAGAGGUAAGAGGUACUACAGGGGUAGGAGUGAAAUCUUGUAAUUCCUGUGGGACCACCAGUGGCGAAGGCGUCUUACCAGAACGGGUCCGACGGUGAGGGACGAAAGCUGGGGGCACGAACCGGAUUAGAUACCCGGGUAGUCCCAGCCGUAAACGAUGUUCGCUAGGUGUCAGGGACGGUCGACCGUUUCUGGUGCCGUAGGGAAGCCGUGAAGCGAACCACCUGGGAAGUACGGCCGCAAGGCUGAAAAUUUAAGGAAUUGGCGGGGGAGCAC